AGACUUAGCUGCUGUCGAAGCUCUAUCUACAAAUGGAUAAGACUUCGGUUUUAGUGUAUACGAGUUCUUGAAAAUAAAGGGGCAAUAACCAAUUUCUUGUUGUAUCAAGAGGGUUGGUUAUUGCUCCUUUGAUUUUAUGUAGGAGUCUGUUACUUAUACUUACAUAAGUUUUUUUCUUUACUUCAACAUAAGAAAAAGUAUUCUUAUAGGUUGGUUUAUGAUUGAGUAUUAUACUUUAUUUUGUUAUGUACUAAUUUUCAACUAAAAUUUAUAUACUUUCUUCUUACUUUCUUUUCAAUUUUUUCUUUUAUGAAGUAAAUGUUUUACAUUUAAAAUAAAAAAGAAAGGUUUCAAUUUUCUCCCCCUUCUAUCUUAUUCUUGUAUCGUAUAAGAAAAUCUUUCUUCUAAUCUUCUAAGAAAGAUAAAAAAAUUUAUGAAUGGUAAAUGGUAGAAAUUGAACUCUUUCUAAUUUGUAAAUAAUAGAGGGGCGGAUGUAGCCAAGUGGAUCAAGGCAGUGGAUUGUGAAUCCACCAUGCGCG
rnacentral:misc_RNA from 1 species